UAACAUCAAAUUUUAAAAUUGUAGCAUAAUAAGUACAUGUCUUCGAGUUGCUUCCAACUGAAACAUAUCCUUAUCGAAAUUGAAUGUAUUAUAUUUGAGGAUUAGAAUAAGGCAUAAUGCAUUAUGUAAUCCUUAAAUAUAUCAUUUAAUCUUUUACAAUCUUUUCACUACACAUAUUUUCUCUUAUCGCACGACGCACGUCUAAACUUCCACUCUUUUUGCCGACCCCUGAAGAAGUGUGUGAAUAACACGCGCACCGACGGGAAAGGACAUGUUGAAAUUGUACGAUAAAUUUGCGGCUUGAAGAGUUUUCCGCCAGUCCCUUACGGUUUAAAGUGUUACCUAUCAGCUUUUUAGAAAUGGCCUUGGUCACUUGAAUUGCGAAGGUUCUGGCUCUUUGCUUACAUGUGAUCAUAAAGCUAUCAGAUAGGAAAAACAAAUACUCCAAUUAUGGUCUUUAUCUUUUCCCUUUGUUAAAUCAAAAACCGGAGAUUAUCAUAUUGUGAAAAACGAAAAAAAACUGCCGCUCGCCUUUCUCGCUUCCAGCCGCCUCCGGUCACCGUUAUCCACUGCCGCUUUCCCUUCUCGCUUCCGCCACCGAUCUCCACCAUCUCGCCGUCUUUGUCUCCGCCAUAAUAAGAAUAGAAGAAAUCAUUCGGUGUCACUAUCUUUGGAUCCUUGCACAAUUGUUCGUUUUCAAUUUCUGCAUCAAAUGGGAAAUUCAGAAAAGUUUAGAACUUAAAGGAAAACAUGGUAGACACCGGAAAGGAAGAAAUAAAGGACUUGUUAACCGUCGAUAACCGUCCAACCGCUGCAAUUCUCUUCUUUCUCCAUGGCCGGCAGAGAUUUCAAAAAGCGCAGUAUGGGUCAAAAUAGGGAGACAAUUUUGAAGCUUCCAACAUGGUGGUGUAAAUGAUGAGAUGGUGAGAAAACCUUCACCGUCGUCCUCAGCGGCCAGGUUCUUAUAUUUCAAAUUUAUAUCCUUUUUUCUGUUAUUACAUGUUAAGAUCUGCUUUCAAAUUGGUGAUUUUUAUACAAUAUUAUUUACUUGACAAAGUUUUUUAAAUAAUAAUCCAACAUUUAAAAUUUUUAAUUCUGAAUUUAGUGAAAAUUGAACAUUAAUACAUUCGAUCAUUAAUAUAUAUUCACACUACCAUCUUCACUACCGUAAAAAAGAAUAAUCAAUGGAAUGAUCGUUUCAAUUCAAUGUUUAGCAAUCUUUAAAAGAUAAGUAGUAUAUUUUUUCUUUUUCCUUUUAAAUAUGAAUGUUACAUUCAUAAUCAUUAUUAUAGUUAUGGUUUAUAUUCUUAUACUUUUCUAAUUUUAUAUGGGUAAUUGAAUAUGAAGUAGAGUUGUGUUUUUGUUUGCUAAUUUAUCUACGAAAAUAUGUGUAAAUAGGCAUCCGAUCGGCGCCGCCGGGUAUGUUAUUAUCUUGCUUUUUCUGUAUUAUUACUUAUUUUGAGUUUAUAAAGUUUGAAUUACAAGAGUUUAAAAUGUGGUACAACAUAAUAAUUCGUCCUUAUAAAUUUGCAAAAUUUAUUGAUAUUAGUUUCUUUAUUCGAUCAUAAAUGACCGCACCUUUUUUUUUUGGUACAAGGGAAAGAGGCAAAGACUAAAACAAACUAGUAACUAACAUUCCUAUCACAAGAAACACCAUAGAGAUCAUGCAAGAUCCAAGGAAUAAUAUCACCCGAAGUUCCGAAGACACUGGAUAAAUCGAGAAAGAUAUUCAAUCAAUAAUAGAAGUCAUAAUUUUUAUACCGUUCGCUUACUUUGCAUAUGUUAAGCGAAUGUGUACUUGGAUGGCCCAUGAAGUGGCUAAAAAGUCCUUAAAGCCUCCUUUUUAGGAGUUAUUAUUGUAAUCUCUGUUAUUUAAUUCUCACAAACAUUAUGUA